ensembl:lncRNA
AUAGAAUUCUGAGUUCCCAAAAGGCAGCUCAGCAGACAAGGUUAAACAAAGGUCCACAGGACUAAAGCCCUUAGACCAGAUACCACACCCUAGAAUGGUGUCCACAUUCCUCUGGUCCAAAGAAGAUCAGAUAGUUAUCAUUUGUAGAAGUCCCCAGCCCAGGAGACAAUUAACAAACUCAUUUCCUCUGAAGCAUCCUGCUUAAUUGUACCUUGCCUGAAGCAUAACUCUUUGUCCUGUCUUGUGUAACCAUGGAAGUUUUGUAAUCUUGGGGCUUCCAGCCCUACAAUUUUCCCUUAUAAAAAUACCCCUCAGUCGAAAGUGGGUACUCCAUUUGUUCUGGAACUAAUGGGGUCCUUGCUGCAGCUCAUAUCCUCGAGUCAAUAAAGAAACCUUUGUCCUUGCAUUCGGAUCAUAAAGGAGGCUGUAACAAAGCAAGCACUUUCACAAACCUGUGAGGUCAGUUCUGCAGCUGGCACUAAUCCACAGAUGCCGAAACUGAGGGAUGGCAAGAUAGUUUGCUGUUGUAAUGAGUGAUGUUGGAAAGAGCACAGUGCCGGACAUGUAAUGGAUGCUGGAUGAAUGUCAGAUCUCAUGGACAUGCCAAGCCAGCAACAAUUCUGAGAAGGUAUCCCAAUGUGUAAAGAUAAUGUUGACUAGAGUCUUGGGGACAAAGAAGUUGGUAUGCCAGUUCCUGGGUCACAGACCAUGACUGUAUGGCAGAACUCAAGAGAAAGACUGUCCAUCACAGAUUUUAGUUACUUCCUGGGAAGAGCAUAUGGAUAUAGCCUCCAAAGCCUGCACCUUCCACCAACUGAUGUUCAACAUUUUUGAGAGGUGUUUUUGAGCUUUGUUUGAAAGUUAAAAGUCUGCUGAUAGGAAUAAGAAAACCCUGAUGGCUCAUAAUCACAAGAUCCAAAUGAAACCCCCACAUUUUAUUCUCUCCUCUUGUCUCAAACUUUCUUUAGAGCCAUUAAUGUACCCGUGAUGGGCUUAGAACAAUGCUCUGAGUGUGUAUAAAUGAAUAACUGCUCACAACAGGCCUAAUGGCACUAUGAGCAGGAAUUAAAAUUAGUCUCCUUUCUGUGAGGCUUUGAAGGCCUUUGACUGGCUUUGUUUCAAAUAGACUAAUUGUAGUGUGUUGUACCUACAGAGAUCAGAGUCUCUAUCUACAUGAGGAUGAUGAUAAAAUGUUAGAAAUGGAGGCAGUGAUUUUGAGACAUUGUGAGUGAAAUUAAUCCCAUGGGUUGGUAUGCUUAAAGUGGUUAAAAUAACAAACUUUGUUAAAUGAGUUUAUUUCAACUUAAAAAGUGGAAUAUAUAAGAAGCUGUUGAAUUCUGUACUUUAAAUGGGUGAAUUAUAUGGCAUGCCAAUAAUAUGUAAUAUAUUAUUAUAUAUUAAUAAAGCUGCUUUGGGAAAAUAUAUAUGGACAUUAGAAACUAGUCCCAAAUACCAUUUUAUGGCCGAUGAAAUCAAGACCCAGAUGGGGUGUGACUUCCCAAGGUUUAUAUAUAUUGCCUGUCAAAAUAUACUUCAUUGUAAUUUGAUGUUGUGUAUAUAUUUUGCCACAAGAAGAAAAAAUAUUUCAUUAUGUAUUUUGCCAUAGAGACUGGUGGAAACUCAUUGCAUCCUGACAAAUCUGAGAGACUAAAAUUAUAAAAUGUGACUGACUUAUUCCUGUUUUCUUGAUACUCUGACAGCUAAAGAUGUCUUGAAGAGAAAACAGCUGAAUAAUUCAUUUUCUAAUAAUGAUCUGUGAAACAAGUUGAAAUAUAAGACCAAGGAGAUAAAUCACAGUUCCCAAAGGACAAGGGGAAACACACCAGCUAUAUUGAAACUUGCCCCUCAUUUGGGCUUUCACCACAAACCCUCAGGGCUUUGGCCUGCAGUCCAUUGCCAGGGAGAAGUACAGACCCCAAAUGGUAUGGACUACAAAGAGGUCAACCACAGCCAGUGAGUAAUUUACCUCAGUUCUCAUAAACUAAAGAGCAAAUGGGCUCAGUGAAGAAUUGAGAAAACAUCCUCAAUAAUUCAAGUUAAAGGCAUCCAUGUGGGUAAAUAAAAUGGAAAUGUAAGGACUUCAUUUCUUUAGCUUUAAAAUGUAUGUGUAUGUGUUCUCAUUAGUUUCCACAGGGGUGUGUGUGUGUGUGUGUGUGUGUGUGUGUGUGUGUGCGCGCGCGCGCAUGCGUGCGCGGUGAUUGUGGAGGCCAGAAGAGGGUCUCAAUAUGAUCCCUAGAACUGCAGUUACAAGUAGUUGUGAGCUGCUGAAGUGGGUGCAGGAAACUAAACUUGAGAUGUCUGAAGAAGAAACAAGAGUUCUUAACUACUGAGCCAUUUCUCCAGCACCCUGCUUUUUUUUUUUUUCUUUUUAAUGCUGGAGGCCAAACCUAGAGCCUUGAGCAUUCUAGGCAAGGACUGUAGCAUGAGCUUCACUGCAGCUCUAAAGCAGAAAGUGUAACUGAAGUUCCCAGGCUAUUUGACUAGCCCACAAACGCUGACAAGUAUUGUUGCAGCACACUUAAGUGUUAAAGUCCUUUGAAAAAGAACUUAUUUUUUUUUUAAGUUCUAAACUGAUAGUAGUUGACCAAGUCAAUUCUUUUCUUUAAAGUGAGAGAAAUCCCAGUGUUAGUUUCAUAAAAUGAAGUCACAUUACUGCUCAGGCUCUCCUGGGAGUUGCAGCCAUUGGUUUAUAAACACAGCAGAAUUCAAGUGUAUGUUUAUAUCCACUUCUCUGAAGCCAAAUAAAAUUACAUACAAAGAAUGCUAAGAGUCUGUUAAGAAUAAAAACUGUUAAGAAUAAAAACAACAGGGUAACAGGAUAGGCUAAACAAAAGUUGAUAACUCAUCACAUUUCACAAGAUACAAAAUAAAUAUGGGGGCUAGGGAGAUGCCUCAGCAUUUUAGAAUAUUGGCUGCUCUGCCAGGGAACCUGAGUUCUGUUACAGCAUGUAUGUCUGGUGGCUUAUAACUGCCUGCUACUCCAGCUUCCUGAGAUCACACACCUUCUUCUGGCCUCCAUGAGUACACACACACACACACACACACACACACACACACACACACACACACAGACACUCACAAUUUGUAUUUGUAUGCAUGUUUAUAUGUAAAUAUAUGUGCGCGUUCUAUCUGUGCAGGUGUCUGUGGAGGGUAGAGGGUAAUCUGGCUGCCAUUCCUCAAAUGCCACACACCUUGUCUUUUGAACCAAGGUGUCUCACUAACUUGGAACUAGCUAAAUAGGUUAGUGUGGUUGGCCAAUGAGCCCCAGGGAUCUUCUGUCUCUGCCUCCUCAGCACUGAGAUUACAGACACACUGAGUUUACAAAAACAUGAUAGUGCCUAUCUUUUAAAAAAUGGGUUCUGGAAGAUUGAACUCAAGUCCUCUAGCUUGUAAGGUAAGCAGAUUGACAACUGAAUGAGCACUCCAACCCACAGAUAGUAUUGCUUCUUCGGGACUUAGCAAAUUCAAGACUAUUCCAAAGGUCCAGAAUUGACCUAUAUAAAUAACCUACCAACUGACCUUGCUGACACUAUUUUCCCUCGGAAGAGCCUCAAGACUUUGAAUCAGCUUCUCAUGACUAAAAGACUCUGAGGUUGGCUCGCACAGACGGUGAAAGUAAGGCAAUGACGUUUUGUGUACCUAACCUCAUGCACACUGGCCCUGCCAUUUUUUUCUCUUUUGACACUUUAAAAUCACCUUUUGUCCCAAUAAUGCCAAAGUCUAAUGAUGAGUGUUCAAAGUGAUUCAGCUGGACUUCUUUGCUGUCAUUGUCCUGGGCUGCUGAUAACUCUUUGACCUGGAAGUUUUGCUUCCUAAAAUGUGUGUAGUGAGAGAGAGAUUAUGUUUUUCAUCAAAAUGCAAAUAUAAAUCACUUAGUAUUAACAUUAAUCUUUUUUGCCAUCGUGACCAAAUUUCCUGAAAUAGACAACUUGAAAAAAUAAAAGUCUAUUUUGGCUCAUGAUUUCAAAGAGCUCAGUUAGUCCUGGCUGAGAAGGCAUGAUGGAAAGGCAUGUGUCACACCUUGGAAGGUCAUGAUUCAGAGAGUGUUACAAGAAAUGGUCAGAGAAAAUAAACUAACCACAUUGCUGGGACUGGAGCAACUUGAAGAAGAAAGGAAGGAAGGAAGGAAGGAAGGAAGGAAGGAAGGAAGGAAGGAAGGAAGGAAGGGAUCCAUUUUGGCUCACAGUUCAAGGAGACAGCCCAUCCUGUUAGAGAUGUCCUGGCAACAGGAGCUUGCAGCAGCUUGUCACCUUGCACCCACACUUAGGAAGCAGGGAGUGCUGACUACUGAGGCUCAACUCCUUUCUCCUUUUCAUUCAGUCCCAGCCACCAUGUUAUAUUUCACUCUUACGGUGGAGCCUCUCACCUUGGUUAGCCUAAUCUAGAAUCUUCCUCAUGGACAUUACCGGAAGUUUAUUUCAUGGCAAUUCUAAAGCCCACCAAGCUGCCAACGAAGACUAUCCAUCAUAUCCCUGAAGAUCACCCCCCAAUGCCCUACUUCCUCUAUGUAGGCUCUGCCUCCUAGAGUUUCUACAACUUUCCAGAAUUGCAACAUGAAUUGGGAACAAAGCAUUCAAAAUAUGAACUUGUCAGGGGACACUUCAUAUUUAAGUCAUAACAGUACUUAUGACCUUUAGCAUAGUCUGUGAUUACAUGCCUUUUAUGAGAGCAUGGAACUCUUAAGGGCCCUACCAUGUUUUCUUACCUCUUGGGAAAUUAUUAUAGAGUUUUAAUCUAAGACUUCAUGUAUUGAUUACUUCCCCUCUAUUUAAUUUUUCUCUCACUUUUUAAUGUUGUGGACAUACCUUAAACAUUUGGUGAUACUGGAUCCAUGCUUAAUGAUGGGGAAUUAAAAGGUGACGGAAUCUGUUUUUGCAUGGAUACUGAUUGUUGAAUGGUGAUCUCUGCUGUUGGUUAAACUGCUUUUCCUCGUAGUAGGUUCCAGGAUAGUCUGGCCUCUGCAUCUACACGGGUCAUACUCAAUGACACAGUCAAUAGAGGACCUAAGAUAGUGGUAGAAAAAAUAUGUCUGUAGUAAACACAUACAGAUUUAUCUUAUUAUUCCCUAAGCAAAACCUUACAACACUACCUAGAUAGCAUUUAGCUUGUGUGGACAUUAUAAAUCAUGGAGAUGGUUUUAAAUAGAUAGGAGGAAAUGUAGAUAAGAUGCCAGCACUACAGUAUUUCAUGUGAGACACUCCAGCAUCUCAAGAUUUUGCUCUCUGCAGGGGCUACUAGAGCCAGUCUCCUGCACAUACCAAGCACAACUUUACUUUUCACCUGGAAGCAGUUUCUCCACAGAAGAAUCCUUUCCUUUUCUCCUUGUAAAGACUUUCAGGGCUACUGGAUUCCUGUGACUGGAGUAGUUCCAGGUUUUCAAAAAUGUCUGGUGACAUGUGUGAGAGCCUCCUGUUCUCAGAACAGUAAAUAUUGGAAUAGUCCUUACUCCCAGACAUCUGCCCCUAAGCCCUCUCUGUCUUCAUCCUACCAACCCUUUCCACCUUCUCCCAGCUCAAAGACUAUCUGCUCCAUGCUCUGGUACACACCCAUUUAAUCCUGUCUCUCUGCACAUGCACUCAACCCUAUCAGGUGGGUCAUAGAGCAAGAUGCUGCCUCCUCCGUCUCUGCUCUCUUCAGAUGACCCUCUAUCCUCCUAAGUGACACUGCAGCCACAUCCAGGAAACAGAUGAGUGGAAAAAUAGUAAAUACGAGGUUUAAGAACUCACACAGGGCUGAAAAUCAUUGUUCCUCAUUUGGAGUUUUCAGUCGACCCUACUCCAUUACCAUUUUGCUGCCAUCUCCAACCAUGUUCACUGGACUCCAAAACACAAAAGUAAAAGCCCUUUUCUUAUUUAGCUGUGGAACCAAAGUAGACGCAUAGUUUCAUACAACUUUUCCUGCUCUCUCUCUCUCUCUCUCUCUCUCUCUCUCUCUCUCUCACACACACACACACACACACACACACACACACACGAUGCAAAUGGAAAUUAAAGUCAUCCACAAUCUGUCCAAUGCACCACUGUUAGUAUUUUUUCAUUUUUUCCAUGUUUUUUAUGUAACGUAUUUGUUUUCUUUGUUUUUUAUUCAUUUAUUUAGCUCAUAAAUAAAGUCAUGCACAAUUAUGAUACACAAUACAGUAUAGUCACAAUGGCAUUGCUAACUUAAACCAAUUAACAUGUUAUAUCACACAUAUUCAUCAUUUUUGUUUUGAGAACACUUAAAGUAUACUAUCUCACAAUUUUUAAAAUAUAGCAUAUUGUUAUCAACCAUAUUUAUCAUGCUCUCAGUAGACCUCAAGACUUCAGAGAGUCCAUGUCUCUUGUCCAACUGCAGUUUUAUAUCCUAAACCAAUCGUUUCCCCAUUGUUAAAAGACCCACAUUGAAGCCUAAUAGCCACAAUUCUGCUGUUUCCAUAAGUUCAUCAUUUCUAGGUUACACAUAAAAUUGAAAUUGUGUGACAUUUGUCUUCCAGUGUGUCACUUAUUUUUUUUUUUUUUGGCAAGCAUAUAACUUUGCUACUUACUAAAGAUGAAAUCAAAUUUGCAUGCACAGUUGAGCACUCAUGGAAACACCUUGGAUUCAUCAUGUAUUUGAGUUUCAAUUAGCAUAUAUACAUAUAUAUACAUAUAUAUAUAUAUAUAUAUAUAGAGAGAGAGAGAGAGAGAGAGAGAGAGAGAGAGUAAUAAUGGCAAUAUGUUCUGCAUCAAUAGCAGCAACAGCUUUUCCAGGUUCUGCAGUCAUUUGAACAAAAUUGUAGAGACAUCCAGCACACUCCAUUUAAAAAAAAAACAAAAAACAAAAAUAUGGAACGCUUCACAAAUUUGCGUGUCAUCCUUGCACAGGGGCCGUGCUAAUCUUCUCUGUAUUGUUCCAAUUUUAGUAUAUGUGCUGCCGAAGCGAGCACCACUGUUAAUAUUUUGAUGUGCUUUUUCUGUGCUUUCUUCCAUUCAAGAAUAUUGGAAUGAUACUAUAUAUAAGUCACAUUUUGCAAAAUGGAAUUACUGUGCAUGUUUUUUGUUUGUUCAGUUGUUGGUUUGCUUUGGUUUUGAGAUAGGGUCUUUCUGUAUUGCCCUGGCUAUCUUAG